rnacentral:lncRNA from 10 species
AGAAGUCCGAGAAACCCCCGUAAAUAUGCCUGUCCACUUUUUUUAAAGCAAAUUACAAAAUGUGAAAUUCCCCAGAAAUGCACAGCAAUACCUUCUCUAACAAUGUGCCUUCAGCCAAAAGCAGAACUGGAAACAUCCUAAGUGGGCCGGUAACGAGGCUAGCUCUGUCGACUAGUUCAAGACCCCUGAGCGCUUUGGGCCUGAGGUUCCUCAGCUUCCAAGUGAAAGGCUUCGACUUGGCAUUCUAAGAGACAAUCUCUGUGACCAUCAGUUUCCUCAUCUGUAAAACUGGCAUCAUGAUAACUUUGAAGGUAAUUGUGAAGAUUAAAGGGAGUCAUGCAUGUAAA